UACGGGGGGGGCAAGCGUUGUUCGGAAUUACUGGGCGUAAAGGGCUCGUAGGUGGCCAACUAAGUCAGACGUGAAAUCCCUCAGCUUAACUGGGGAACUGCGUCUGAUACUGGAUGGCUUGAGUUUGGGAGAGGGACGCGGAAUUCCAGGUGUAGCGGUGAAAUGCGUAGAUAUCUGGAGGAAUACCGGUGGCGAAGGCGGCAUCCUGGACCAUAACUGACGCUGAGGCGCGAAAGCUAGGGGAGCAAACGGG
rnacentral:rRNA from 1 species